CAGCCGCCGCGGGAAUACGUAGGGGGCAAGCGUUAUCCGGAUUUACUGGGUGUAAAGGGAGCGCAGACGGCAGUGCAAGUCUGAAGUGAAAGGCGUGGGCUCAACCCAUGAACUGCUUUGGAAACUGUAUAGCUUGAGUGUCGGAGGGGUAAGCGGAAUUCCUAGUGUAGCGGUGAAAUGCGUAGAUAUUAGGAGGAACACCGGAGGCGAAGGCGGCUUACUGGACGACAACUGACGUUGAGGCUCGAAGGCGUGGGGAGCAAACAGGAUUAGAUACCCGCGUAGUCCCUGUCUCUUAUAA
rnacentral:rRNA from 1 species